AGGAAGCGUGUGCACAGCCCAGAGGGAGAGGGGGAAACCACUCAGGAAAUAUUGACCUGGAGCACUUAGAAUUCAAGGUCAUGGUUCCACUUCUUGUCUGCCACUGCAGAGCAAUGGAGAGGCUCUGCAGGCGGAGUGUUUGGUCUUACUGGGUACAAAAAUGGGGACCAGCUCCUACAAGGGGCCCCUGACAAGAAAACUGGAACCAGAAAGGCAAAGAACUGGACUCAAGUCACACAACUGGCAAGAUAUGGCGCCAUCUUGGUUCCGGAACCCACAUCUUUACAAAAUACCACAUAUCUAUCUAAAGGAGCACCUCCCCCAUUUUCUGACUUAGAUCUAUAUUUUUGAUGAAAAUAUAUAUUCCUGAUAUAAAUCUGUGUCUUAUAGCCACAUGCCUUAAGUUGGAAUAACUAACUCCCUUCCUUUACCCACUGGGCUUUGGGGCAGGAGGAAGCCAUUGUUUCAUGUGUAAGAACUUGAAGCAUGUUAAUACGUUUUAGUAACUCUGAAAAAUAGUGUAGGUUUGGGUCUUUAAAGAGAGAAUGUAUUUUGUACACUGGGUCCUUUUAAUCCAGAGAAUCCAUUACCUCGAUACUACCCACAAUCCAAAAAACCAUGGAAUGAGCUUGGUAAACUGUGACCACAUCAGUUUUGCUUCUAGGCAUUCAGUGGCCACCCAUAAUCUUCCAUAUAAACCUGCUGUGCUUAAAAUGGCACAUGAGAACAUGGACAUGGCAUGUGAGAAUCUUGUUCAUCUGGCCCUGGUCUGCAUCUCCAGCCUUACCUCUCUCCAUCCCACCUGGUGUUCUGUAGCUGGCCACAGAGAACACCCUAGCAAUCCUGUGGAAUGGACCACCUCUCCCAGGGCUAUUUCCUUUGAGCACUUUCUCUCUUCACCACUCCAUGGCCUCACAAAGCAGCUAAAACGAUCACUCUGACACAACCAUAUGAUCUUGUCACUGUCUGGUUUAAAACCCUUUGAUGAUUUUCCAUGAUGCAUACAAUAAAAUUCAAAUUUGAAACCAUA